CGUAGGGGGCAAGCGUUGUCCGGAUUUAUUGGGCGUAAAGGGCUCGCAGGUGGCUCGAGCAAGUCGUGCGUGAAAUCUCCCGGCUCAACUGGGAGCGGUCGUGCGAUACUGCUCAGCUCGAGGUCGGUAGGGGGAAGUGGAAUUCCGGGUGUAGUGGUGGAAUGCGUAGAUAUCCGGAGGAACACCAGUGGCGAAGGCGGCUUCCUGGACCGAUCCUGACACUCAUGAGCGAAAGCGUGGGGAGCGAUCCGGAUUAGAUACCCGGGUAGUCCACGCCGUAAACGAUGAGCACUAGGUGUCGGGGGUAUCGACCCCCCGGUGCCGUCGCUAACGCAAUAAGUGCUCCGCCUGGGGACUACGGCCGCAAGGCUA
rnacentral:rRNA from 1 species